AUACGAUGUACUUUUUUGUAGUGUAUUUAUAAUGUACCAAACUUUGGCUAAAACAAAAUACGGAUACAUACUAGACAUAAUUAAAAUAGAUUUUAAGAAGUUUAGAAACUGUGAUGCCCCAACUUUCCAAGGGGCCACCCAUCUUAGGACUACUAUCGUCCUAGCACGUUUUUUAACUCUUUCAAUCUCUUGAGUCUAGCCACCGUCUAAAAUACUUAAACCAUGUUAAGAGUUUAGCCCUAUUAUACUUCAUAUAUAGGACUCUCUGGAGCCUCACAUUCUUCUCCUCUUUAAGCCAUAAGCUGUGUUAAGAAUUUAGCCCUAUUAUAUCUCAUAGAUAGGACUCUGGAGUAACUUUAUUCAGAUCGAAACAGGAUUUUAAAAGAAAAAUAAUUUUUCUGAGUUCUAGACUUUUUGAAC
rnacentral:lncRNA from 1 species